rnacentral:sRNA from 1 species
GGCUGGUCUGAGUGCAGUGGUGUUUACACUUAAUGAGAACCUGCUGUGGUAUCUAACCUCACGUUUCUACUAGUGCUCCCGACCUGCCAGCA